rnacentral:rRNA from 1 species
CCCUAUUACUAUGAUCUAGGGCAGCGGCCAAACCUUACAUCCGGGACGCUAGGGUUCUGAGUGCCGUAAAAUCGGGCUGUCCAUCAGUUGUAAAUAACUGGUGAAGAAAGGGCCGGGCAAGACCGGUGCCAGCCGCCGCGGUAAUACCGGCGGCUCAAGUGGUGGCCACUAUUACUGGGCUUAAAGCGUCCGUAGCAGGGUUGUUAAGUCUCUUGGGAAAUCUACCGGCUCAACCGAUAGGCGUUCAGGGGAUACUGGCAACCUAGGGACCGGAAGAGGUGAGAGGUACUCCAGGGGUAGGAGUGAAAUCCUGUAAUCCUUGGGGGACCACCUGUGGCGAAGGCGUCUCACCAGAACGGCUCCGACUGUGAGGGACGAAAGCUUGGGGGAGCAAACCGGAUUAGAUACCCGGGUAGUCCCAGCUGUAAACGAUGCGCGUUAGGUGUAUCGGUGACCACGAGUCACCGAGGUGCCGAAGAGAAAUCGUGAAACGUGCCGCCUGGGAAGUACGGUCGCAAGGCUGAAACUUAAGGGAAUUGGCGGGGGAGCACCACAACGGGUGGAGCCUGCGGUUUAAUCGGACUCAACGCCGGGAAGCUCACCGGAUAAGACAGCGGAAUGAUAGCCGGGUUGAAGACUCUGCUUGACUAGCUGAGAGGAGGUGCAUGGCCGUCGUCAGUUCGUACUGUGAAGCAUCCUGUUAAGUCAGGCAACGAGCGAGACCCACGCCAACAGUUGCCAGCUUGUCCUCCGGGAUGAUGGGGACACUGUUGGGACCGCCUCUGCUAAAGAGGAGGAAGGAAUGGGCAACGGUAGGUCAGCAUGCCCCGAAUUAUCCGGGCUACACGCGGGCUACAAUGGUCAGGACAAUGGGUAUCGACACCGAAAGGUGAAGGCAAUCUCGCUAAACCUGUCCUUAGUUCGGAUUGUGGGCUAAACUCGCGCACAUGAAGCUGAUCCGUAUAUCGCGGCAAUGCGCGU